rnacentral:rRNA from 1 species
GACGAACGCUGGCGGCGUGCCUAAUACAUGCAAGUUGAGCGAUGAAGAUUGGUGCUUGCACCAAUUUGAAGAGCAGCGAACGGGUGAGUAACGCGUGGGGAAUCUGCCUUUGAGCGGGGGACAACAUUUGGAAACGAAUGCUAAUACCGCAUAAUAACUUUAAACAUAAGUUUUAAGUUUGAAAGAUGCAAUUGCAUCACUCAAAGAUGAUCCCGCGUUGUAUUAGCUAGUUGGUGAGGUAAAGGCUCACCAAGGCGAUGAUACAUAGCCGACCUGAGAGGGUGGACGGCCACAAUGGGACUGGGACACGGCCCAAACUCCUACGGGAGGCAGCAGUAGGGAAUCUUCGGCAAUGGAGGAAAGUCUGACCGAGCAACGCCGCGUGAGGGAAGAAGGUUCUCGGAUCGGAAAACUCUGUUGGUAGGGAAGAACGUUGGUGAGAGUGGAAAGCUCAUCAAGUGACGGUAACUACCCAGAAAGGGACGGCUAACUACGUG